rnacentral:rRNA from 1 species
ACAUUCAGAAUUGGAGGCAUUGCCUGCCAGUGACAACUGUUUAACGGCCGCGGUAUCCUGACCGUGCAAAGGUAGCAUAAUCAUUUGUUCUCUAAAUAAGGACUUGUAUGAAUGGCCGCACGAGGGUUUUACUGUCUCUUACUUCCAAUCAGUGAAAUUGACCUUCCCGUGAAGAGGCGGGAAUGCACAAAUAAGACGAGAAGACCCUAUGGAGCUUUAACUAACCAACCCAAAGAGAAUAGAUUUAACCAUUAAGGAAUAACAACAAUCUCCAUGAGUUGGUAGUUUCGGUUGGGGUGACCUCGGAGAAUAAAAAAUCCUCCGAGCGAUUUUAAAGACUAGACCCACAAGUCAAAUCACUCUAUCGCUCAUUGAUCCAAAAACUUGAUCAACGGAACAAGUUACCCUAGGGAUAACAGCGCAAUCCUAUUCAAGAGUCCAUAUCGACAAUAGGGUUUACGACCUCGAUGUUGGAUCAGGACAUCCUGAUGGUGCAACCGCUAUCAAAGGUUCGUUUGUUCAACGAUUAAAGUCCUACGUGAUCUGAGUUCAGACCGGA